CUGAAUCUGAAGAUGAGGGAGAAGACGACGAAUCUGAAUCUGAAUCUGAAUCUGAGGGAGAAGAUGAGGAAUAAGUGCACGUUGCUCUUGAAAGCUUCUUGAUCCACGACCACAAAUUGUUCCCUCAUGUUCAAACUUUAAACAACUUGAGGGAGCUGCGGCUAAUGGGGCAGCUGUACAAAUGAAGACCAAAUAAAGGAAAAUGAGGAUGACAUAUAAUGUCAACUAAAUUCCCUUUCACGAUCUUGGGGUGGUAUUCACCUGUUGAGUGACAGAAACUUGAAUAUUAAUGACAGAAGUCGUUGCCUAUUGAUGAAAUUGUUAAAUCUGUUAAACUCGGUUUGAAGUUUUAGUUGAAUGUUUGGCCCUUUUUUCCAGAGAAAUCAUUAGAGCAGGGCGGAGGGAUUCAUUGUGCAAUUUGGGGCAUCGCACGUAAUGUUUUUGGGGUUAAAAGGGCUAUUUAAGCAAACCUAAUUGUUUAUUAA